CUACUUUAUUGGUCAACCUAAUAGAGAAAGCCCGAACCUGGCGCCCGGAAGUGAUGUCAUCGGAACUGUGCAAGGUCCCGUCCAGAGCUGGCUGCUGUUCCGCUAGCGAGCGGCAUGCUUAGUGAAGAAAAGCUUAAAGGCCGUCUUUGCCCAAAACGCUCUCUGUGCGCACCUGCAUUUCCCCCAGAUUUGCAGGUGAUGAGAGUUCUGUAAAAUUACACAGCUAGUGACUGAUCCAGCGGAGGCCGAAUACAGAUGGAGUCUCACUCUGUUGCCAGGCUGGAGUGCAGUGGUGCCAUCUCAGCUCACUACAACCUCCACCUCCGGGGUUCAAGCGAUUCUCCUGCCUCAGCCUUCCGAGUAGCUGGGACUACAGGUGCCUGCCACCAUUCCCAGUUAAUUUUUGUAUUUUUAGUAGAGAUGACAUUUCACUAUGUUGGCCAGGCUGGUUUUGAACUCCUGACCUCGUGAUCCACCUGCCUCAGCUUCCCAAAGUGCUGGGAUUACAGGCAUGAGCCACCACGCCUGGCCCAAAUCCUAUUUUUCAAUAUUUAUUUCCUAAUUAUGUCCUACUAGGUUAGGUUUUAUUUUCAUUUGUUACAUAUUUAUUGGGUUAUUUCCUUUAUGCUAGGAACUUUAUUAGUAUAAGGAUACAGAUAAGGUCCAUUCUCUGUUCUCAAGAAUCUGAGUCUACAGGCAGAAGACAAAAUGCAGUACAGAAUUAUGGAAAUGUGAAUGGAAACUGCAUUCAGAGAGGGGUAUUGCUUGGGAAAAGCCACAUUGGCGUGCCACAGAUGUAUGCCAGCCUGGCAGGCCCAUAGUGUGAUUACUUGAGUUUCAAUAUCUGAUUCUUUUAUAGGCUUGAAAUUGGUUUAUCAGGUCUGGAAGUGACUGGACUCUGGAGUACUGAGUUACCCACCACAAACUGCUAAUAAAAUGCUGUGUAAAAGCCAUUAAUACUAAUGUAUUAUUUAUGAGAAACACAAUUAUGGGGAAGCUAGGAUAGUUGAGUUUGCUGGUCAUUAUCUUCCUUGUAUUGACCAAAUUACAAUGAAGGCUAAAUCCAAAUUAUAAUCAGAAGAUUGCUUGGUAAAUACAGAACAGAAACAAUAGAAAUGUGUGUGGUGCUUUUAAUGGCUAGUAUUUCAAGCCUGAUGCAGCCCUUUCCACUUGAGUCACAUUGUCUUACAUUCUUUGACUUGGCUAGUGCUAAAAAUACAUUGCCAUUUUACUUUCUCCAUUUUUUUUUUUUUUUUUUUUUUGAGACGACGUCUGGAUUGCAAUUGGUGUGAGGUUGGCUCACUACAACCUCUGCCUCCCGGGUUCAAGCGAUUCUCCUGCCCCAGCCUCCUGAGUAGCUGGGACUACAGGUGCACGCCACCACGCCCAGCUA
rnacentral:lncRNA from 10 species